UGCAUUCACAACUGUAAGUCGCUCUGGAUAAGAGCAUCUGCUAAAUGAGUAAAA
rfam:Salmo salar isolate Sally breed double haploid chromosome ssa22, whole genome shotgun sequence.